rnacentral:rRNA from 1 species
CGCGUAGACGGUUGUCUAAGUCUGGAGUGAAAGUCCUGCUUUUAAGGUGGGAAUUGCUUUAGAGACUGGAUGACUUGAGUGCGGAAGAGGUAAGUGGAAUUCCCAGUGUAGCGGUGAAAUGCGUAGAGAUUGGGAAGAACACCAGUGGCGAAGGCGACUUACUGGGCCGUAACUGACGUUGAUGCGCGAAAGCGUGGGGAGCGAACA